rnacentral:rRNA from 1 species
AUGCACGCUGGCGGCGUGCUUAACACAUGCCAGUCGAACGGUGAAGCAGAGCUUGCUCUGUGGAUCAGUGGCGAACGGGUGAGUAACACGUGAGCAACCUGCCCCUGACUCUGGGAUAAGCGCUGGAAACGGCGUCUAAUACUGGAUAUGAGCUGCGACCGCAUGGUCAGCAGUUGGAAAGAUUUUUCGGUCUGGGAUGGGCUCACGGCCUAUCAGCUUGUUGGUGAGGUAAUGGCUCACCAAGGCGUCGACGGGUAGCCGGCCUGAGAGGGUGACCGGCCACACUGGGACUGAGACACGGCCCAGACUCCUACGGGAGGCAGCAGUGGGGAAUAUUGCACAAUGGGCGAAAGCCUGAUGCAGCAACGCCGCGUGAGGGAUGGCGGCCUUCGGGUUGUAAACCUCUUUUAGCAGGGAAGAAGCGAAAGUGACGGUACCUGCAGAAAAAGCGCCGGCUAACUACGUG